rnacentral:rRNA from 1 species
UAAGGAAUAUUGGGCAAUGGAGGCAACUCUGACCCAGCCAUGCCGCGUGCAGGAAGACGGCCCUAUGGGUUGUAAACUGCUUUUAAUAGGGAUUAAAGUCAACUACGUGUAGUUGUUUGCAAGUACCUAUAGAAUAAGCAUCGGCUAACUCCGUGCCAGCAGCCGCGGUAAUACGGAGGAUGCAAGCGUUAUCCGGAUUUAUUGGGUUUAAAGGGUGCGCAGGCGGAAGAUUAAGUCGGCGGUGAAAUUUUGCAGCUCAACUGUAAAAGUGCCAUCGAUACUGGUUUUCUUGAGUGUGGAUGAAGUAGGCGGAAUUUGUGGUGUAGCGGUGAAAUGCAUAGAUAUCACGAGGAACUCCGAUUGCGCAGGCAGCUUACUAGGCCAUAACUGACGCUCAGGCACGAAGGCGUGGGGAUCAAACAGG